CGGGGCAUAGCUCAGUUUGGUAGAGCGCUUGGUUCGGGACCAAGAGGUCGUAGGUUCGAAUCCUGUUGCUCCGACCA
rnacentral:tRNA from 2 species